CGCGUUCACGGUUCACAGGGGGUUGUGGGAGUCGGUGACUCGGUAAUGAU
rnacentral:rRNA from 1 species